rnacentral:rRNA from 1 species
GCGGGGUGCGUGCGAGAGGCGGUGAUAAGACGAGGGGGGCUAGCGGUGCUGGGAAGUCCUGGGCGUAAAGGGGGCGGUGGCGGGGCGGGAAGGUGGGGGGGAAAGCCCAGGGCACAACGCGGGAAGUGCCUUCAAGACGGGCGCGCUUGAGGAUGGCAGAGGUGGGGGUAACUCCGAGUGUAGAGGUGAAAUUCGUAGAUAUUCGGAAGAACACCAGUGGCGAAGGCGACACACUGGGCCAUUACUGACGCUGAGGCGCGAAAGCGUGGGGAGCAAACAGGAUUAGAUACCCCGGUAGUC